UGCGUACCUUUUGUAUAAUGGGUCAGCGACUUAUAUUCUGUAGCAAGGUUAACCGUAUAGGGGAGCCGGAGGGAAACCGAGUCUUAACCGGGCGUUAAGUUGCAGGGUAUAGACCCGAAACCCGGUGAUCUAGCCAUGGGCAGGUUGAAGGUUGGGUAACACUAACUGGAGGACCGAACCGACUAAUGUUGAAAAAUUAGCGGAUGACCUGUGGCUGGGGGUGAAAGGCCAAUCAAACCGGGAGAUAGCUGGUUCUCCCCGAAAGCUAUUUAGGUAGCGCCUCGUGAAUUCAUCUCCGGGGGUAGAGCACUGUUUCGGCUAGGGGGCCAUCCCGGCUUACCAACCCGAUGCAAACUGCGAAUACCGGAGAAUGUUAUCACGGGAGACACACGGCGGGUGCUAACGUCCGUCGUGAAGAGGGAAACAACCCAGACCGCCAGCUAAGGUCCCAAAGUCAUGGUUAAGUGGGAAACGAUGUGGGAAGGCCCAGACAGCCAGGAUGUUGGCUUAGAAGCAGCCAUCAUUUAAAGAAAGCGUAAUAGCUCACUGGUCGAGUCGGCCUGCGCGGAAGAUGUAACGGGGCUAAACCAUG
rnacentral:rRNA from 1 species